AACGACUCUCGACAACGGAUAUCUCGGCUCUUGCAUCGAUGAAGAACGUAGCGAAAUGCGAUACUUGGUGUGAAUUGCAGAAUCCCGUGAACCAUCGAGUCUUUGAACGCAAGUUGCGCCCGAAGCCAUUAGGCUGAGGGCACGUCUGCUUGGGUGUCACGC
rnacentral:rRNA from 1 species